UACGUAGGGGGCUAGCGUUAUCCGGAAUUACUGGGCGUAAAGGGCGCGCAGGCUGUAGAUCAAGUCAGCUGUGAAAUGUCUGGGCUUAACCCGGGCAUGCGGUUGAAACUGAUGUACUGGAGUGCUGUAGAGGCAAGUGGAAUUCCCAGUGUAGCGGUGAAAUGCGUAGAUAUUGGGAAGAACACCGGUGGCGAAGGCGACUUGCUGGGCAGCAACUGACGCUGAGGCGCGAAAGCCAGGGGAGCAAACGGGAUUAGA
rnacentral:rRNA from 1 species